GACGAACGCUGGCGGCGUGCCUAAUACAUGCAAGUAGAACGCUGAAGGAGGAGCUUGCUUCUCCGGAUGAGUUGCGAACGGGUGAGUAACGCGUAGGUAACCUGCCUGGUAGCGGGGGAUAACUAUUGGAAACGAUAGCUAAUACCGCAUAACAGUAGAUGUUGCAUGACAUUUGCUUAAAAGGUGCAAUUGCAUCACUACCAGAUGGACCUGCGUUGUAUUAGCUAGUUGGUGAGGUAACGGCUCACCAAGGCGACGAUACAUAGCCGACCUGAGAGGGUGAUCGGCCACACUGGGACUGAGACACGGCCCAGACUCCUACGGGAGGCAGCAGUAGGGAAUCUUCGGCAAUGGACGGAAGUCUGACCGAGCAACGCCGCGUGAGUGGAGAAGGUUUUCGGAUCGUAAAGCUCUGUUGUAAGAGAAGAACGAGUGUGAGAGUGGAAAGUUCACACUGUGACGGUAUCUUACCAGAAAGGGACGGCUAACUACGUG
rnacentral:rRNA from 1 species